UUGAUGGAGGCAAACAAAAGGCCCAUUGACGGCGGCGUGGCCAGCUGCAGCCGGUGCAGGUCAAGGUCACCAAGGUCGCGGUGAGAAGAAAGAUAUCUCAGAGAAACGCCUGCUGCAGAUAUCGGACGUGGCUCCGUUGCUCACUUUGCAUCAGCCGGUGCGUCUUUGCUUCAUUCAGUGAACAGAAGGGAACAUUUGGGGAUUCAAAAAACAAACCCUAUUAUCAGCAGCGACCUGUCAAUCAGCGUGUAGCCCCUCCCCGAAGCAACCCCAUGCUAAUUUCUCAUUUCAAUCAGCUUUUUAUUGUUAUUCAUGUGGAAUGAAAGAGAUGAGAUUGAAACACAAGUCAACUUGUUUUCUAGAAGCUUCUAAUAUUAUUGUAAAUAUUCAGCAGUCCCCCCAAAAACAUCUGGCCGCGCUGUACUGGCUUCACCAUUAAGCCCGCUGCGAUGCUCCAGCAGCGGCAACAACAACUUCAUGCACGUCUCCAUACAAGGUCCUGAUGAUUGCUUCCUUCCUUCUAUGGAGAAGCUCUGCAGCCGCUCGGUCAUCUCAGGGAUUCCAAAGGUUGCUCGUGAAGUUACUGUCAUGGGUGAGCGGAUCGCUUAGUUCCACAGGAGCUCCGUGAGGGACAGACGGAGACGGGAGAAACGUCCAAUCCAGCUUCAUCACGCUGGACAGACGUGGGCCUGAACACGCCUCCACCCACACGCCUUCACCCACACGCCUCCACCCACACGCCUUCACCCACUCGACAGCCGUGUCGUGUGAAUAUGGGAACCUCGAAGGGCGCGUUUGAGAUGACCCUCUUCGUCAGGCCUCCCCUCAAGAGGAGGGAGGGAGGCGAAAAAGCCAAAAGAGCCUCCAGCUGGACCCCGUGGGGAGCUCGUGUGAACGCUGUGACCUCACGGCGUCGGGCCCUACGGACCAAUGAGCGCUGGCGAUGUCACGGUUCGGAGUCAAAUCGAGAGGGUUCUGCUUCGGGGUCAAGAGGUCAUAGUUUAGUUUACUCUUUAAAUCUGUUCCUCUGGUGAAGCUCAUCAGCGGCUGAUGUUUAGGAGCUUUGGAUCCCACCUUUCUCCGCUGACAGCUUGCUGACGUCCAUCGUCUUGUUGAGGACUUUGACGGC